GAUGAACGCUGGCGGCGUGCCUAAUACAUGCAAGUCGAGCGAACGGACGAGAAGCUUGCUUCUCUGAUGUUUGCGGCGGACGGGUGAGUAACACGUGGAUAACCUACCUAUAAGACUGGGAUAACUUCGGGAAACCGGCGCUAAUACCGGAUAAUAUUUUGAACCGCAUGGUUCAAAAGUGUAUGACGGUCUUGCUGUCACUUAUAGAUGGAUCCGCGCUGCAUUGGCUAGUUGGUAAGCUAACGGCUUACCAAGGCAACGAUGCAUAGCCGACCUGAGAGGGGGAACGGCCACACUGGAACUGAGACACGGUCCAGAGUCCUACGGGAGGCAGCAGUAGGGAAUCUUCCGAAAUGGGCGAAAGCCUGACGGAUCAACGCCGCGUGAGUGAUGAAGGUCUUCGGAUCGUAAAACUGUGUUAUUAGGGAAGAACAUAUGCGUAAGUAACUGUGCACAUCUUGACGGUACCUAAUCAAAAAGCAACGGCUAACUACGUG
rnacentral:rRNA from 1 species